UUAUGGUGUCAUGGUCAUUGUUGACCGUACAUAUGAUUCCAACAAUUGCUUUGCAACUUAUGUGGGGAUUAUAGGACGGUCACCAGAGACAUUUGACAUCAAUGA
rnacentral:pre_miRNA from 2 species